AUUUAAUUAUUUCUACAUGACGAUGAACUUUAUUAUACACUAUAAACAAAUCAAGUCAUUUACUAUUAUUUGGAUGCAAAUAGGAAGUAAUAUGGCUGAAACUAUGAAGCUGUAAAACAGAUAAAGAUUGUCCAAAAUUUUAUGGAUCUAAUGUUAGGUGUCGUAAAGGCAAAUGUGUACAAUUGGGAUAAAUGAGUUCUUUCUCUAGCAAGAGAAUUGUACAAUAUACCUCAUGCUAGAAUAUUUCACUUGUUGUCAUUUAGUUUUUGUGCAUGUACUCAAUAAUUAUUUUUCUUCUUCUGUUUUCCCUAAUUCCAUGGACUUUAAAGUUAUGAUUUUGUAAUCUAUGAUGAUGGAAAUGAAAUAAGACAACAAAGAUUAUAUUUAUAAGA